rnacentral:rRNA from 1 species
GACGAACGCUGGCGGCGUGCUUAACACAUGCAAGUCGAGCGGUAAGGCCCUUUCGGGGGUACACGAGCGGCGAACGGGUGAGUAACACGUGGGUGACCUGCCCUCAGCUCUGGGAUAAGCCCGGGAAACUGGGUCUAAUACCGGAUAUGACUCCAUGACGCAUGUUGUGGGGUGGAAAGCCUUGUGCGGCUGAGGAUGGGCCCGCGGCCUAUCAGCUUGUUGGUGGGGUGAGGCCUACCAAGGCGACGACGGGUAGCCGGCCUGAGAGGGCGACCGGCCACACUGGGACUGAGACACGGCCCAGACUCCUACGGGAGGCAGCAGUGGGGAAUCUUGCGCAAUGGGCGAAAGCCUGACGCAGCGACGCCGCGUGAGGGAUGACGGCCU